UCACGCUGUAGUUCACUGAGUUCAUUAUCGCGUGAAGUGAGCCAGCAUUUUUAUCAGGUACCUGUGGCUGGCAGUUCUCACUGAACACGAGUUGAACUGGGUCGCCUCCGCGGUUCCCUUAAGAGCGCUGUGCCGGCCUGCGUCGUGCCCCCGUCACUAACGCAGCCCGCCGCCUCCCCGCCCGCCGCGCGCCACAGGAUGCAGUGUUCCUUCCUUCCAGUGUCCUCGGGGGCGGUCUCGGGCCAUCCGCCUACACUGGCGACCGAGUCGACCCCAAAACGUUCCUAGGGGACGGAUGACUUUUGUGAUCUCGUUCUUUCCGGAUCGGUUUUUCCAAACGGCCGGCCGCAGGUGUAGCCUCACCGCGUGUGAGGGUGUUUCGGAAGCCCGCCUGGGUCCGGAGAAUUUUUGGUUUCUGGUCAAGCGCGGGACGUUUCUGGGCGGCCGGGCAGAGUGAGGCAGCGAGGCUGUCCUCGGCCGGGCGGGCUGGGACACGGGAAUACUUAAUCUUGUGUGUGGAUCGCACGACGGAGCUUUCCGGUUGCCUCGACGAAGGCUUCGUGUGACUUUAUUUGCUUAUUAAAACACUGGAUUCUGUAGCUGGACACUGGAGGUCUGAAGUGGUCAGAAACAUCUACUAACUGCUUCAAGGUGCCACUCCCGGGGGCCCCCCGGGGCCGGGCGCUCCCCGCUGCCGCAUGUUCUGCCUCGGAAGCAUCUCGCGCUGCAUGCCGCUCUAAUUUUUACGUGCGUUCUGUGAACCACUCGGUAACGCAGUCCAGUGUCACGAUAAGCGUCUUCGACUUGCUUCUGUGGCUUUCUUAGAAGUACUGUGAGCGGUCACCCAGCAGUGGCGUCUGUCCACAAGGGAGCGCACACCGCUGUGUGACAUUGCCGCGUUGAGAUGAACUCUCUGUGCUUCUCAGGCUCCCAGUGACCACCCCGCAGCAGGGGGCGCCUCCGGGGCAGCCGUGCCCUUCUACAGCCCUGCUCACUUUGCACAGGUAAGUGCCCUGCUGUCUCCUGGGGCACAGGGAUCCCCAGCCCGGCGCCCCGCUGUGUCCGCCGACCCUUCUCUCGUCCCUGCCGCUGCUCCUGGCGUGAACGCCCCCACCGUGCUGGGGCCUGCGGUCUCCCGCCGGGUCUCCCGCCGCCACACCUCACCGUGGGUCUCACUCCCUCCGCCAGGCCGGCCUUGGCCACCCUUCACCUGGCAGCCCACGGCCCGCAGUUGGGGAAUGCUCUUGAAUGUUUCUUUCUAUUUCUGUCUCUCUGCCUUCUCGCUCCUCCUUUUCCAGUCUCUUGCCCGUAGGGUGCAGCCCGGCUGCCAGCUGGGGGGGAGCUGAGCAGGGAGGGGCCGGGGCCGUGUCUCGACGUUCAGAGUAUAAAGCCUCCCACGACCCUGGUCGCCCUCACCGCCUGGGGUGGCCGGGCCUGUUCACUGUCAGCCGGGCGCUCGGCCAGCCUGCCACUCUCUGCUUCGACGUGCCCGCAGACGAGGCCGCCUCUCGGCCUCCUGCCCUGACCUCCAGGACUCCCGUGUCCCAGGUUACCACCUGGCCGUGCGUCUGCUUUUCCGUUUCAAGAUCUGGUGGCGGUUUUCCUCUCGUUCCCUCCGUCUCGCAGUGUGCGCUUUACAAGAGUUUAUCGAUGGCUCACUUCAGCGCGAGUAAAUGCCUGCGCUCCGUCCGCUGUCUGUCCCUGGGCGCUCCCCGCAACGCUGCAGUCGCGGGCUGGGCCGCCACCCUCCCCGGGUGCUCUGCCGCGGGGGCCAGCCUCCCUUCUCACCACCUGACGAAACUGCGGACCCCUUCAAAGCGGACGUCUAGGCCUGGUCCCCACUUGGCCAGUCGUCGGGGCUUCCGGAGAACACGCAGCCUGCCUGUUCUGUCGGUGGAAAUGGUCCCGCAGACCCAUCUCCCCGGCGCUGCCGGGGCGCCCCCGGCCUCGGAGGCUGGCGGGUGGAAGUCCGCACUCUUCCUUGUCUUUCCAGGCCUCUGCCGCCUCGGGGGGCUCCAGGAUGGGGAGGAUCGGCCAGAGGAAGUACCCGGCGUUGAGCUAGAAGGGUCCCCGUCCUGCAGUGGCAUCUGGAACCCUCAAAUUCUCCUCCACCGCCAACUCGGACGGAUCGAUGGCCCGCACCUCCCUUCCGUUCCCGCCCGGAUGGGGACGCCAGUGACUCCACGCGGUCGUGUUCGGACUCCUUCACGGCCCGUCUCCGCAGCGUUGCCGGGGCUGGGUCCGCGGCCCCUCUGCCGUGCUGGGGGAAGCGAGGGGAGCUUUGGCUCCGUCUCUAGCCGACGGUGACCCGAGGGUAAAACGCUCUUAGUCGUUCGGGAGCGGUGCGCCGAGGGAGGCCGGAGCCAUCUUUGCUGCGUGAAAAAACUCAGCCCUUCGGUAACUGGGGUGUCUCGGAAAACCUAACCGUGCUUUACUGCUGCGUCGGGCCCCCCUGGGCCCUGGAGGGCGCCCUGGGGCCUGGCACCGCAUCACGGGCUUCAAGGAAACGUGGACUCAGCUGAGUUUUCCAGGGAGGCCCUGGUCGCCCAAGUGCAUUUGAGUCUGGCGGCAAAGAUGUUCCCAGCUUCGCUUCCUUCUCUGUCCGGGAGGGAGGCUCUGCUCUCCACUCCCCUGGCCGGGCCGUGUUCCACGUGGGACCCGCCCCCCUAACCCACCAGUGCUAAAAACUGGCUGUGACGAAUUCCAUUCGGGUUUUCUUAGUAUGUGAGUAGCCUGGUUAGACUCGUCCCCAGAGAAACUUCUGGACUGCCACGCCCUUUGUAAAAUAGUCGAUGUACUUCCUCACGACUGGUCCUCAGGGCGCAGAGUUGACACGCGCCCUGACUCUGAGGCUGCUGCCUCCGCUUUUCCCACACCGGGAUCUUCAGUGGGUGGGGGGCUGAACCCACAGAGGGAGGCCCCGCCCCCUGGACUCAAAGCUUUAAGGCUUCAUCGACUGUUCUUAGAAUUAUUCACGUUCUUGUUAAGUCUGAAGAGACCGCAGAAAAACAUUAAAUAUUUAUAAGAAUCAUUAGGAAAUAAUUUCUGUAGGUUCUGCUGGGGACAUAGUUGGGUGUCGUGAAUCUCAGUGCAGAAAGGGCGUAAAUGAGUUAGCACGGGCCUCGGUUUCCCUCGCGGCUCACUGGGUCAUGGAGGAAGGGCGCGGAGUGUUUUCCCGUGCGUCACCCAGGGCACGCCCCGAUGCGUUGGUUCUGGUCACUUGGAGAGAGGUGGGGCGUGGCACCCGGGGCAGUGGGGGGGCCCUGGGACCCGAGACCUCCCUGGCGCCCUCGGUCUGGCCUGCCCACCCGACCGUUCCCUGCGCGGGCUGCCGGCGACUUUUGAUUCAAGAAGCUCCCUCCCAGGCCAGGCGGGAGCUGCUAUUUUUACUAAAUGCAAAUUGGUAAAUAAAGUAUUUUGCGC
rnacentral:lncRNA from 1 species